UCCUAGCCGCCGCACGCCGCCACAACCGUCGCCAGCCGCUCGCUCCGCAGCCACCGCGUGCUGAGUUCCAGCCACCCGCCCGAGUUCUCCCGCCAGCUGUCGCCACAAAAUCAGCCGCAUCGCCAGCCGCUUGCUCAACCACACCGUCGCACGUCGAGCGUCGGUCGUCGAAGCCUGCGAAGCCCAGCCGUGCCAUGCCUCCGCAACCCGAGUCCCACACCCGUACUUGACCCGAACAGUCGUGCCUCGCCUUUGACCCAGUUUUUGACCCGCGCCCCUCCUCCAUGAGUCGAUCGCUCCGCGCCAAUGCUUGUCGAGCCGUUCUGCACGCGUGAGCUGCCUGCCGAGCCAUUCUGCGCGCGCGAGCCGAGCCGAUUUCUGCUUUCUGGUUGAGCCGAUUCGCCUGUCUUUGAGCCGUCAGCCUGCUCCGGUCCUUUACACCUAGUUUUGAGCAUCUAGGACCAUUUGAUAUUGGAGCGUUGGACUUCUCCAGUUAGAAGCUCAAGUCGCAACUUCGACCUAAGUAGGACGUCGCUGCUGGGAAAGCGUGACCUUGCGGUUAGGACUCGUUGAGCAAAUCUCCAGGCAGGGGCAGAGGUAAGGGAAAGGGCAAGCUGGCGAGCGACCAGAAGUGACAGUGGCGAGCCAUAUGGAUCUCUUGCUUCCGCAUUAUGUCCGAGUUUAGACCUUGAGUGUUUGCCUUUUUAUUACUCUUUAUUUGUUAUUUCAUUUCUUUAAAAUUAGAUAAGGCCCGAGUUAGGAUUUUAAUAUUUGUUUACAUAUCGCAUAUUACUUUUGAUUAGGUUUUAAAUAAUAAAUUUUUGAGGUUUCGUUUCG